rnacentral:rRNA from 1 species
UUUUCCUACGGGACGCAGCAGUGGGGAAUAUUGCACAAUGGGGGAAACUCUGAUGCAGCGACGCCGCGUGAGCGAUGAAGUAUUUCGGUAUGUAAAGCUCUAUCAGCAGGGAAGAAAAUGACGGUACCUGACUAAGAAGCCCCGGCUAACUACGUGCCAGCAGCCGCGGUAACACGUAGGGGGCAAGCGUUAUCCGGAUUUACUGGGUGUAAAGGGAGCGUAGACGGUCCUGCAAGCCAGAUGUGAAAGCCCGGGGCUCAACCGUGGGACUGCUCUGGAAACUGUAGAGCUGGAGUGCGGGAGGG